rnacentral:rRNA from 1 species
CAAAAACAUAUUUAAUAGAUUUAAUUAUUAAUAAAACCUGCUCAAUGAAAUUUAAAUAGCCGCAGCUCAUACUGUGCUAAGGUAGCAUAAUCAUUUGUCUUUUAAUUGAAGACUAGAAUGAAAGGUUAAACAUUUAAAUCAAUAUAAUAUAAUUAUAUUUUAAAUUUAUUUUAAAUGUAAAAAAACAUUUAUAAUUAAGAAAGACGACAAGACCCUAUUGAACUUUACUGAAGUUUAACUGGGGCAGUUAAUCAAUUAAAACUUUAAUGUUUAUUUAUUAAAAAAUGACCCAAUCAAAUUGAUUUUAUGAUCAAGCUACCAUAGGGAUAACAGCGUAAUGUUUUUCUAUAGAUCGUAUAUAAAAAAACGAUUGCGACCUCGAUGUUGAAUUAAUUAUUCUAAUAAAUGCACCCAUUUAUAAAGAAAGUCUGUUCGACUUUUAAACAAUUACAUGAUUUGAGUUCAGACCGGUGUAAACCAGGUCGGUUUCUAUCUU